rnacentral:rRNA from 1 species
GACGAACGCUGGCGGCGUGCCUAAUACAUGCAAGUAGAACGCACAGUUUAUACCGUAGCUUGCUACACCAUAGACUGUGAGUUGCGAACGGGUGAGUAACGCGUAGGUAACCUGCCUGGUAGCGGGGGAUAACUAUUGGAAACGAUAGCUAAUACCGCAUAAUAUUGAUUAUUGCAUGAUAAUUGAUUGAAAGAUGCUAUUGCAUCACUACCAGAUGGAUCUGCGUUGUAUUAGCUAGUAGGUGAGGUAACGGCUCACCUAGGCGACGAUACAUAGCCGACCUGAGAGGGUGAUCGGCCACACUGGGACUGAGGCACGGCCCAGACUCCUACGGGAGGCAGCAGUAGGGAAUCUUCGGCAAUGGACGAAAGUCUGACCGAGCAACGCCGCGUGAGUGAAGAAGGUUUUCGGAUCGUAAAGCUCUGUUGUAAGAGAGGAACGGGUGUGAGAGUGGAAAGUUCACACUGUGACGGUAUCUUACCAGAAAGGGACGGCUAACUACGUG